CGACGGAAGUCUUACUGAGUUAUGCCAACUCCCAUACCCCUGUGAACAUACCUAUGUUGCUUCGGCGGGUCGUCCCGCGGCGCGCCCUCGUGGCGUGACCCGGACCCAGGCGCCCGCCGGGGAACCAAACUCUUGUCUUCCAGUGUCUCCUCUGAGUGGCAUAAGCAAAAAUAAACAAAACUUUCAGCAACGGAUCUCUUGGUUCUGGCAUCGAUGAAGAACGCAGCGAAAUGCGAUAAGUAAUGUGAAUUGCAGAAUUCAGUGAAUCAUCGAAUCUUUGAACGCACAUUGCGCCCGCCAGUAUUCUGGCGGGCAUGCCUGUCUGAGCGUCAUUUCAACCCUCAGCCCCCGUUCGCGGGGCGCUGGCGUUGGGGCCCGGCCGUCCUCGCGGCGGCCGUCCCCGAAACACAGUGGCGGUCUCCCGCAAACUCCCCUGCGUAGUAGCACUACCUCGCAAAAGGGACGAGCGGGCUGGCCACGCCGUAAAACACCCCACUUCUCCAGGUUGACCUCAGAUCAGGUAGGAAUACCCGCUGAACUUAAGCAUAUCAAUAAGCGGAGGAA
rnacentral:rRNA from 2 species